UACGAAGGGGGCUAGCGUUGCUCGGAAUCACUGGGCGUAAAGCGCACGUAGGCGGAUUGUUAAGUCAGGGGUGAAAUCCUGGAGCUCAACUCCAGAACUGCCUUUGAUACUGGCGAUCUUGAGUCCGGGAGAGGUGAGUGGAACUGCGAGUGUAGAGGUGAAAAUUCGUAGAUAUUCGCAAGAACACCAGUGGCGAAGGCGGCUCACUGGCCCGGU
rnacentral:rRNA from 1 species